rnacentral:rRNA from 1 species
UACGGGGGGAGCAAGCGUUGUUCGGAUUUAUUGGGCGUAAAGAGCUCGUAGGCGGCUUGUCGCGUCGACUGUGAAAUCCCGCGGCUCAACUGCGGGUCUGCAGUCGAUACGGGCAGGCUAGAGUUCGGUAGGGGAGACUGGAAUUCCUGGUGUAGCGGUGAAAUGCGCAGAUAUUAGGAGGAACACCGGCGGCGAAGGCGCCACUCUGGGCCGAAACUGACGCUGAGGCGCGAAAGCUAGGGUAGCAAACGGG